rnacentral:lncRNA from 1 species
GUUUCUUCUCGGGUCUUUAGUUUUUCCAGAGAAAAGAGCCAGUCUUAGCCACCCACACAAGCCUUGGCUCCCACCUCCGAUGGGCACGGUCGAGUUCAGCAGGAUUUAAAUGACAUAGGGAUAUUUGUGCUUGUCUGUGAGUUCUUAAUACCAGGUAUCUGUUUAGAAAAGUGAAACCCUCAUUCUGUCUCUACCGGAGAACGUCAGUUGGCCUCAGCCUGGGGAGCUGCCCUCAAACCCAAGCCUCUUCCUGAUCCUUGAGCUCUUGGUCAUGGCCACUCCUCCAGAUGACUCCAGUGCUGGAGUGAAACUGUGGUUUGAGAACCACGGGUUGUGCUGCAUGGUCUUGGCAUGGCUGACAUUGCUGUUGUGGUUUAAUACAGAAGAAAGACUUCCAGGUGGCUCUGCUGGACGAGACAUUGCAGUUAGAGCCUUUAAAAUGUUGCUGGGAGAAAUAAGAGCAAUACUAGUUAGAAAAAGAAUCCCCAGAAGUUGUUGAAGUCUAAAAUUCUACCCAUGGGACCAAAUGGGAGAUGGAUUUCUGCAAUUAUUGAGAAAUAAAUAAAAAUGUGGUUCCUGCAAAAUGAACUACCAUUAUACUCAAUCUUGAGAGAUUUUGAGAAUCACCAACACUCUGAGCCAAAUUAGAGUUCUUUAUUGCUGGCAGUCGAGAGCAGCUAGCGCUUGAAACCUCUCGACGCUGAAAAGCAGCUUGCAGGGAAACCAGAUGGACUGCCUAGCAACAGCAUCCUCCUCUCCCCCCACCUUCUGCAUACCUGGGGCCUGUGGUUGCCCUUUAGUGACCUACCUGAAAAGUCGGCAUAGCACCGUGGGUAGGAGGGAGGCCUGAGAGGAGCACCAGACCCUGAACCCUAGCUGUGCUGCCUAGGCCCAGCCCUCUUCGGGGCUUCCUUUUGGCCAGAUUUCAUCGGCACACCAGAAAGAGUGAGGGCUCUGAGCUCCAAGUGUCUUCUGCCGCCAAACUGCCCCAUCUGGCCCACCCUCCCACGCAGACACACAUAAUCCUGCCUCCCCACAAAAUGGUGUAAUCUGUCUUCCAAGCUCAAGAAAGUCUGACAUGUGACCACUUCCUGCUGUACAGCAUAGCCCACACGUUCUAGAAACCGG